UUAAUCGGAAUUACUGGGCGUAAAGCGUGCGCAGGCGGUUAUAUAAGACAGAUGUGAAAUCCCCGGGCUCACCCUGGGACCUGCAUUUGUGACUGUAUAGCUAGAGUACCGUAGAGGGGGAUGAAAUUCCGCGUGUAGCAGUGAAAUGCGUAGAUAUGCGGAGGAACACCGAUGGCGAAGGCAAUCCCCUGGACCUGUACUGACGCUCAUGCACGAAAGCGUGGGGAGCCAACAGGAUUAGAUACCCUGGUAGUCCACGCCCUAAACGAUGUCAACUGGUUGUUGGGUCUUCCCUGGCUCAGUAACGAAGCUAACGCGUGAAGUUGACCGCCUGGGGAGUACGGCCGCAAGGUUGAACCUCAAAGGAAUUGACGGGGACCCGCACAAGCGGUGGAUGAUGUGGUUUAAUUCGAUGCAACGCGAAAAACCUUACCCACCUUUGACAUGUACGGAAUCCUUUAGAGAUAGAGGAGUGCUCGAAAGAGAACCGUAACACAGGUGCUGCAUGGCUGUCGUCAGCUCGUGUCGUGAGAUGUUGGGUUAAGUCCCGCAACGAGCGCAACCCUUGUCAUUAGUUGCUACAUUUAGUUGGGCACUCUAAUGAGACUGCCGGUGACAAACCGGAGGAAGGUGGGGAUGACGUCAAGUCCUCAUGGCCCUUAUAGGUGGGGCUACACACGUCAUACAAUGGAUGGUACAAAGGGUCGCCAACCCGCGAGGGGGAGCUAAUCCCAUAAAGCCAUU
rnacentral:rRNA from 1 species